GUGAACGAGCGGGACACGGAAAAUCAAAGAUCUGGACAGCAUGGACUUAUUCCUCAGAAGUCAUUCUAUAAGGGUACCAGGAGUAUGAGGAUCCUAAAUCCCUUCAAUUUAGUUACAUACAUCUGUGGAUGGAUAUACUGAACCACACAUCCAGCCUACCAAGUCAAGUAGCAGACAGAACAUCCCCCGGUGUAGAAACUCCAUUACGUCAGCAACAGAUGAACAGCCUCACAUUGGAAAUUACCGUUUACAAAAAACAAUAGGGAAGGG
rnacentral:sRNA from 1 species